GGAAGUCGAGGUGGAACACGGAGCUUGCUCCCUUGAUUCAGCGGGCGGACGGGUGAGUAAUGCCUAGGAAUCUGCCUGGUAGUGGGGGACAACGUUUCGAAAGGAACGCUAAUACCGCAUACGUCCUACGGGAGAAAGCAGGGGACCUUCGGGCCUUGCGCUAUCAGAUGAGCCUAGGUCGGAUUAGCUAGUUGGUGGGGUAAUGGCUCACCAAGGCGACGAUCCGUAACUGGUCUGAGAGGAUGAUCAGUCACACUGGAACUGAGACACGGUCCAGACUCCUACGGGAGGCAGCAGUGGGGAAUAUUGGACAAUGGGCGAAAGCCUGAUCCAGCCAUGCCGCGUGUGUGAAGAAGGUCUUCGGAUUGUAGAGUACUUUAAGUUGGGAGGAAGGGCAGUAAAUUAAUACCUUGCUGUUUUGACGUUACCGACCCAAUAAGCACCGGUUAACUCUGGGACAGCCCCCGCCGUGAUACGGAAGGGGCAAGCCUUAAUCGGAAUUACUAGUUAGAAAACUGCCCUAAGGGGUUUGGUG
rnacentral:rRNA from 1 species